AGGUAGACUGGAGCCCCCUGUAGCCGAGUGAGGCAGCAUGGCAACCUGCACGGGGGCUGCACACAGUGACGUGGUGGGAGCUCGAGGAAGACGGUGGUUGUGAACAGGGAGAUGCAGAGAUCUGGUUGGGAUCUCGGGAUUUGCUCGGGGUGUCGCUGGAGCCAGCUAUGGAGUUGGAGGCAGUGGCCACGCUGGGCAGCAGAAGGACCCCAGGGGUGACAGGUCCCUGAGGAUAACUGGAUGUGGGGAGAAGCACACACCUCUGUCGCAUCGUACUUUCAGUCAGGACACUGCUCGGGAUACCUGCUUGCCUGUGUGUUUUUAUUGCCUACCAUAGUGACCAGUUCAGCACGGCAAAGCAGGGAAGGGAUCAAGGGACUGGUGUCUGCAGGGGUGGAACACCCUGACACUGAGACCUGUGGCCAAGCUUUUUCCUCCAAGGUGUGCUGAGGAAGUCAGGAAGAGGCUCAGACUCAAGUGCUGAGGCGGGGAGAGUCGAUUCUUCAGCCUGAGCAAGGCAGGAGGAAAAAGAAGGUGAGCCCAGACUCCUCCAGCAAAGGAUGGGCCAUUUGCGGAAUGGACAGUGUCUGUGUAAAAUUUCUUCUCAUUCUGGAAAGGCUCAAGAGAAGGUUGGCCUGGCAGUCUGCUCCCUCUCCAGCCAGGACAGCCCUCCUCAGCUGCAAACACCAAGGCAAGCUGAUCCCUGCCCUCCUGCGAGAUGCCGUCUGUGCCUCCUGAAAAUGCUUUUUUGGUUGUUCCUUGUAACAAAAAACCAAACAAACAAACAAAAAAAAAAACACCAAAAAAAAGGUUUGCAUAAUAAAGUUGUUUCUG
rnacentral:lncRNA from 1 species